rnacentral:lncRNA from 1 species
UGACAACGAUUACUCAUUGGAAGUGAGGUUGCAAUUAGAAAGUUUGCAACCAGAACACGAAAGAAAGUAAUACUAAUUAAAGCCAUAUAUACAGAAGAGGGUCUAUUUUACAGUAAUCUGCAAAUCUCCUCAAUAAUACAAAUGCAGCUGAAUUUGACCUUUUGCUGUUUUGGUCACCUGGUUAAAUGAGGUCUACUUUUCACUGUCCUGACAACUUUUAAGAAAAUGAAACAAAAUAUGGAUCUAACAAACGACGCUGAAAGAAGAAAAUUUCACAAACUCUUUGCCUUGUCUGGGAGUGUCUAGGCCAAUGGCCCUAACUUGUUACCUUCUUCAA